rnacentral:tRNA from 1 species
GCCUGGGUGGCUCAGUCGGUUAAGCUCUGGCUUCAGCUCAGGUCAUGAUCCCAUGGUCCGUGGGUUCAAGCCCCACGUCAGGCU